rnacentral:rRNA from 1 species
AGAGUUUGAUCCUGGCUCAGGAUGAACGCUGGCGGCGUGCCUAAUACAUGCAAGUCGAGCGAACAGACGAGGAGCUUGCUCCUCUGACGUUAGCGGCGGACGGGUGAGUAACACGUGGAUAACCUACCUAUAAGACUGGGAUAACUUCGGGAAACCGGAGCUAAUACCGGAUAAUAUAUUGAACCGCAUGGUUCAAUAGUGAAAGACGGUUUUGCUGUCACUUAUAGAUGGAUCCGCGCCGCAUUAGCUAGUUGGUAAGGUAACGGCUUACCAAGGCAACGAUGCGUAGCCGACCUGAGAGGGUGAUCGGCCACACUGGAACUGAGACACGGUCCAGACUCCUACGGGAGGCAGCAGUAGGGAAUCUUCCGCAAUGGGCGAAAGCUUGACGGAGCAACGCCGCGUGAGUGAUGAAGGUCUUCGGAUCGUAAAACUCUGUUAUUAGGGAAGAACAAAUGUGUAAGUAACUAUGCACGUCUUGACGGUACCUAAUCAGAAAGCCACGGCUAACUACGUGCCAGCAGCCGCGGUAAUACGUAGGUGGCAAGCGUUAUCCGGAAUUAUUGGGCGUAAAGCGCGCGUAGGCGGUUUUUUAAGUCUGAUGUGAAAGCCCACGGCUCAACCGUGGAGGGUCAUUGGAAACUGGAAAACUUGAGUGCAGAAGAGGAAAGUGGAAUUCCAUGUGUAGCGGUGAAAUGCGCAGAGAUAUGGAGGAACACCAGUGGCGAAGGCGACUUUCUGGUCUGUAACUGACGCUGAUGUGCGAAAGCGUGGGGAUCAAACCAGGAUUAGAUACCCUGGUAGUCCACGCCGUAAACGAUG